AGUCCUGGUAUUUCAAGGCCCCUUUUCUUUUUUCAGCUCUGCCUCCUCAGGUCUCUCCUUGCCUAGAUAAGAUGGUAUUAAGGAGAAGUUCCUGACCCCUGGCUCCUAGCUACAUUGUCCUCGGAACCAGUGACACCAGAGGAUGUGCCAGUGGACUUUACGUUGUAAGAAUGAAAACAGACCAUUACCAGAGACCCUGAAAAACCACAUGAACUCUGUCUCCUUGGAAACAUCAUCUUCUAAAGCAACUUGCUACACCACAGACAAAAUUCCUCUGCAAUCAAAUGCUGAAUCAGGUAUCUUGCAUUAUACAGUAGAUGCAUUUCCUAUAGAUGGGUGGGUAAGUGACCCUUUGUAAAUUAACUCUUUGUCCCAUGUGUUUACAUUACCAUCUGAGAAAUUCUAUAACAUGAGUACUUACUUUUCCGUUUCCACUUCCUCUUUUUUUUUUCUUUCUGGUCAUCCUUCCUUAUCUCUCUGCC
rnacentral:lncRNA from 1 species